GGGAGCGGAGAGGCUUCAUGCCGUUCCGUCUCAACAGAGACGCUGACAGGCAGUCGGCUGUAAUGGACGCAGGUGCAACAGGUGGGGAGGGGGCAGACGGAGGCUGCAGCUGUGAAUCUUCCCACUGGAUCUAGAGGCCUGCAACACACAAAGCCCAAACAACCAGGAGUAAUUCAGUCAGUCAAGAAAACCUUCCAUGGCAUCAAGAUUUCCACUGACUCAACCUCUCCACUUUCUUCCUGCUGUGCUCCUUGGUCUUCAUGAUGCUACUAAUAUUCUCAACAACCUUCUAACAGCUGAAUGCUGGCAUUAAAUUACACACCACCUACUGUCACUCCUCAAGGCUGUGGUGAUGACGGAUGAGGCCAACAUGCCAUGUAUAUGAAAGAUAGCUGACAAAGAGCAAGCAUUCCUUUCUAAUAAUAGCACAGAAUCAACUUGUAUGUUGUAAGAAUCCAAAUCCAAUUGAGAGAAGACAGCAAAGAGGAAGGUCAAAGUGAGAAGGGGAAUUAAAUGGAAAUAAAGCGAAAAGGACAAAGGAAAUGACAAAAUCGAACCAGUCAUCAAAAUUUAAGUUGUUAAAAUGGUUGACCGAGAAUCAUUUUACUUAGAUUUAAAGUCAAUGUAUUAAAACCAACCAGACAUUCAGCUCUUUAUUGAUUU